CCCUUAGAUGUUCUGGGCCGCACGCGCGCUACACUGAUGCAUUCAACGAGUCUACAACCUGGUCUGAUAGGGCUGGGUAAUCUUUUGAAUGUGCAUCGUGAUUGGGAUAGAUGAUUGCAAUUCUUCAUCUUCAACGAGGAAUGCCUAGUAAACGCAAGUCAUCAGCUUGCAUUGAUUACGUCCCUGCCCUUUGUACACACCGCCCGUCGCUCCUACCGAUUGAGUGUGUUGGUGAGGAGUUUGGAUUGGCCUCGGAAGGUGGUUCGCCACCGUCCGUAGCUGAGAAGUUCUCCAAACCGCCCCACUUAGAGGAAGGAGAAGUCGUAACA
rnacentral:rRNA from 1 species